rnacentral:rRNA from 1 species
CCCUUAGAUGUUCUGGGCCGCACGCGCGCUACACUGACACGUUCAUCAAGUCUAUAACCUUGACCGAGAGGUCUGGGUAAUCUUUUAAAAACGUGUCGUGCUGGGGAUAGAUUAUUGCAAUUAUUAAUCUUCAACGAGGAAUUCCUAGUAAACGCAAGUCAUCAACUUGCAUUGAUUACGUCCCUGCCCUUUGUACACACCGCCCGUCGCUACUACCGAUUGAAUGAUUUAGUGAGUACCAGGGACCGAGCGCUUUGGUUGGGUUUCCUUCCCUAGCGCUUGGGAACUGUCGCAAACUUGACCAUUUAGAGGAAGUAAAAGGCGUAACA